rnacentral:rRNA from 1 species
UAUUUGAAUGUGCGAAUCGGGGCAGCCCCGAUGUNGAAUUUGAAACAACUUUCAACAACGGAUCUCUUGGCUCUCGCAUCGAUGAAGAACGCAGCGAAAUGCGAUAAGUAAUGUGAAUUGCAGAAUUCAGUGAAUCAUCGAAUCUUUGAACGCACCUUGCGCCCCUUGGUAUUCCGAGGGGCAUGCCUGUUUGAGUGUCUUGAAAUCAUCAAGCCCCUCGGCGCUCGUCGCCGGAGGGCUUGGACUUGGGGGUCUUGCUGACGCUUCGGCGCCGGCUCCCCUUAAAUGAAUCGGUCGGGCUUAUCGUGUGCCGGUCCACGGGCGUUGUAUCAUCCUCGUCCUGGGAUGGCGCUCGACUCGAAGGCCCCUCCUCGACCUGCCUAUGGAGCGGCGGUCAAAGGCGCUUUGCCACUUUGUGAUCUGACCUCAAAUCAGGUAUGACUACCUGCUGAACUUAAGCAUAUCAAUAAGCGGAGGA